AAGCUACUGAAUCAAGCUACUGUGGUAAGUUAAGGAAAAAAAUAAACCAAUUACAUCCACAAUGACCCUAUUUCCAAAUAAGUUCAUAUUCUGAGGUCCUAGGAAGUAGAACUUCAGCAUUUUUGGAGAGACACAAUUCAACCCACUUCAGGAGACUCAGGGGUGGCUUAUAGCAUCUGCUAACAGCACAACAUAUUUUUGAAGAAUUGUGCUUUGUCUUUAAAAUUUAUGCAAAUUAAACACAAUUCCAUUGUUCCAUUACUAUUCCAUAUAAAACAUUUCUCAAAAAAUCUGUGAGUAAAAUUAGUAAUUCAGAAAGCUGCUCCAUGUUUAUCCUGGGGAACUGGGACCCUGCAUCUCUUUAUAUCUGUAGAGGAUACCUAACACCAAGUGUGAAAGCCCCUGAAAGCAGAGACACCAAUAAGGAGGAAAAGGCACAUUUAAGCUAAAUGAGCAUGAAGAAUAUUGACUUAGACAGGGCUUAAAAAGAAGUCAUGCGAACUAGAUACACAGAGAAAAGACAGAACAUCCCUGACAAAGAUUUCUGACCAACAAAGCAGACCAGGGUGGAAACAGCACUUGCAGAGAGCCCUGUUGCAACCACAUGGCCUUUUUUUUCCCUCCUCUCUUUCCUUUUGAACAGAAAUCGGCAUCACACAGCACUGUUCCCCAUCACAAUGGCUUUUCAAGAACAUGCUUUUGAAGUACAGGUGCCAUGGGGACAAAGAUGAUGGUUGUGGUAGUAAUAGGCUUUGUAACACACUGAUCAGAUUCAUAUUUUUCUAUUAUAGUAAAUGUGCCUCCAGUAAUGGAACUUAGCAGCAACACUAACCAUGGCCAUACUGUUCUUUUAUUUCCUAAGAAAUAACAUUUUCAAAAGUGACAAAGGACUCUGACAAAGGCCUAGCAAUGGGAGUGAGAAUGACUCAAGUAGGGUUAGCUUAUUGCCCUACUUGGUUUGUGACAGAAAAGUGGGUUGAGUUGAUGCAUUUCCACAUCCUGGGGACUUACUGCCAGGCCCCUAUAGCUGCACCCCCACCAGGAUCCAAGCUGGAGAGACCCUCUAAUGGACAGGGCUCCAAAGACAGCACCAGAAAUCUUGAUGUCAUGGAAAAAGAGGUGGCUUUCUGCUUUCCUUGGUUAAAACAUGGGGACCACAAUGUUCUUUUCCUUCUCUGCCCCUCUAUUAGGAGAAAUACGAACCUCACAAAGACAUUCCCAGUCUCUUAGGAGAAACGUCUAUCAAAGUUAGACUCUAGUCUUUUUUCUUUUUUUUUUUUUUCUUUCAGUUUCUGUGUUUUGGCCAUGCCUGUGGCAUGUGGAAAUUCUGGAACAAAGGAUCGAACCCGAGCUGUUGCUGUAACCACACUGGAUCCUUAACCCUCUAUGCCACCAAGGAACUCCUAGACUACAGUCAAGGAGAAGACAUAUCCCACAAGAUGUGUGGCCAAGUGACAAGCCUGGAGAAAAAUAACACCUGACCCAGGGUUAUUAUUCAGAGCAGCCAGGAGGCUUCAGCUCCACUCAGGAGAAACCCCCAUUAAGCCCUGUUUUCUGGAAGCUGUGCACAGAAUGCCAAGGUGUUAGCAAACACAGUGGCCAGACCCUUGAGGAAAGCACGUAACAGAGGAAGGUGAUCCUCAAGGGGAGGAUGAGGGGAUCCAAAGAGCCAGAGACUGCAGGGGGCGAUCAGCCCUCUUUAGUGGGUGAUCACUCCCCUGGAGUAGUGGGGACUAUUUCCAUCUCUAGGAAGAUGAUCUUCCCAAAGAGAAUAGCUCAUGAGAUUACCCAUCUCCCUCCAUCCUGAUUCCCCAUUACAGCUAUUGUGGUUUUCCAGGCAUCCUGAUAAUGGGAGGCACGCUGUCUACUGGAGAGGUGAAUGCUCCGGAGGGGUAACUGCCACUUGGCCUCAGGACCUGACACGUAAAUGAAGCAGAAACUCCUUUAUCCCUUAGGCAGUGGCUCCCAACCAGCCUGUUUGCCCCUCCCCUGAAAGGGGACAUGUGACUAUACCUGGAGAUGGUUUUAGCUGCCACAGCUGUGGAAUGCUCUCAUCGUCUAGAGGGGUAGAGAUGAGGAAUGCUGUUAAAUAUCCCACAACGCACACAACAGAGAAUAAUCGCAGAAGGUCAAAGAGACACUACUGAUAAACCUCGCCUUCAGAGAAUGAACUCCUGAUCUCUCACUAACUCACCUGCCACUAAACCAAACAAAAUGUUGAUGGGCUUGAUGGUGACCAAGAACAUAUAGCAAGUCCUGGACCAUCAAAUAAUUUGAAGAGGAGCAGUGGCCAGCUCUAGUGAUGCGCUUCUCUGAUUAUAUGCAUCAUCAUCUGAAAUCUGUUAAGCAUCUAGCCUCUCACUAUGUCAUCAUCAAGUGAUUGGCAAAGGGAAUUCAGCGGAACCUCUGUCCUCUUAAGAGUUUAUGAUAUGAGAUGGAGAGUAAUGACUAGGCAGCACUUUAUAUAAAGGACCAAAUCUCUACCAGAGCUGCAAACAAGCAGUCAGAUGGAUUGCCCUGUGAGCUUUCUCCUCUACAAUGAACCCACAGAAAGGUCAGCAGCCGGACACAGAAAGAGGAGAAGGAUCCUGAAUAAACACAGACAGUUUAAUCAACCGUGAAGAAAUCCAAGAGUUGACUGAAAGUGCUUUGUCGGGAAGAGAAGCGAGGCCCCUGCCCUCAGAGAAAGGCGAGGAAGGUUGGAGGUCAUUUAGCAGCAGAGAUGGCCGCUGACCACAGAGGCCACCACAGAGGCACUAAGAGCCUGGUAAGGAUGUCACUGGGGAGACUCAAAAGCCAAAGGCCAGGGGGUGGAGAGGGUAGGGUGGAAAGUGGCAUUUGAGUAUUUUCCAAAGAACCCAGCAAAUAAACGUUCCCUAGAAAGAAGAUGAAAACUUAGCUCAAUGAGAAGGGAAGGUUGUGUUUUAAAACCACUCUUAUUACUUAAGAGUUGGUUGCUCCUUCAAGCUUCUGUCCAUCAAGUCUGUCAUUUCUGAUUCCAGACUCCUCAGGGAAUUUUAAAGCCUGGUUUAUUAGAAUUACAUCUAUGUCCUUUAAUUGCAUCUAAAAAAAUCAAGGUCAAACUAUGUUGAUGUGUGAAAGAGAAUUUCUGUGAAUGAGGGCUGACUCUCAGGCCCUGGCCCUGUAAUUACUUUCUUUGUAAACCUGAAUACCCAAUCAGAAGGGUGUCUUCUCAACAUUUUUUGUUGUAUUUAUGAAACACCUUUAAAUAAUGGAAUAUGGAACCUCCAGCAACAUCUGUGUCCAAAUAUAUCCAAGACUGUUUAUGUUUUUAAUUGAAAAUCAAACCAUUUUAGACCAACUAAUCUAUGGUAUCAUUGAAAUGCAUAUUUUUAGAAAAUUCUUGAGACUUUUGCAAACCAUUAAAGUAGCUUGACAUCACGCUUUAUCUUUAUAAGAUUCUUCUCAGCUGUGAUUGCUGUUGGAAUGAAAUCAGGGAUAGCAUUCAAAAAAGUCUAUAGCCUGAAAAAGUUUGCAGAAAAAAUCUGAUUCCAUUAGAAAAACCAUUUCUUUUACGGUGGUUUUACCAAUUUUCCAUUGGCUCAUAUAAUAUGGUUGGUUUAUUCUCAUUCCAAUUAAAGAUGCAAUUCAUUAGAGUCUUUAACUUCAUUAAAGCAAAGUCUUCUAUUAAUGUUAUCAAGCAUUGAUGGGCUUCAAAUUGGACAUUCUAAGCAGGCAGGAAAACAACUUUCAAACCCUCUGAUUCUGUAUGAAGCAUUUCUACACAAGGACUUACAUUUCUGUGGUCUCGCCUGGUAAAAUGUUUAUUCCUUUAUGCUCAGUCUCAUUCAUUUGAUUCCUGGGUCUACGGGCCUGAUAAGUUGUAUAGAAGAAUAAUUUGUGUAGGAGGACAGUUGUGCUACUUAUAUUCAAUCAUUUAGGAUUAGGAAAAAUUUAAACCAAUUAAGAAUUCCCAUCAUCAGGAGUUUCUUAGAAGGAAAUGACUUUUUAAGGCAUAUGGGAAUUAUCAAGAAAAUCAUUUUCCCUUGAGAUGAUGUGUUGAGUGUUGGGCAGAAUAGCAAGAGGAAACGGUAAUUCCCACACAAGGAAAUAAUUGCUAUUUUCAAGGCUGGAUAAAAUGGGUAUAUUUCCCCCAUGUACCUUUUCAUUUUAAAAAGUAAUGGAAUUCGGGUACAUCUUGAUUAUUUAGGAUAAUAAAGGAUACAUGAGGCCUGGAUAGAAAAACCACAAAUGGUGAGUAAAAUAAGACAAACAGGGAUUACUUUUUUCUGUUUAUUAACACUCACACCAAGCUGUGUACUUGGUUACCAUGGUCUCAUGGUAUCUCAUGUCACAGGCUACACCAUAUAAAAUCACAGAGGCCACCGACAGGCAGGAAGAGAGGCCUGGGCUUGUCGUCUGAGUAAUACAAACAGCCCAGUGUGUCAGAUGGUAGCCUGGGUGCACUGAGGCCUGAUGUGCCCAGCUCAGGAGGGGCUGGUGACCACCUCAUCUUUUCUCCUGCCUCUGCCUUCCCCCUAGUGGACAGCUGUGGGAAAGCGUCGUAGUUCCCCUGGGCAUCUUUAUGAAGGGCUGAGAUCUGGCACCCCUGAGAGCUGUCCUCCCCAAGCCCUGUUCCCAGGCCCUCUUGGUCAGUUUUCUGGAGAACCAGGGCUCUGCCUGGUAUGCGCUGAAAUCUCCUUAUGAUAAGCACCAUCAUUUCCUGUGUCACUUCCUCCAUUUUCAUCUACCUCUGCCCACCUUGUCCCCAGGUGGCCAGC